GUCGAGAAUCUUUCACAAUGGGGGCAACCCUGAUGGAGCGACGCCGCGUGGAGGAUAAGGUCUUCGGAUUGUAAACUCCUGUCAUGCGUGAACAAGGUUGCUUGGUUAAUACCUGGGCAAAUUGAUGGUAACGCAAGAGGAAGAGACGGCUAACUCUGUGCCAGCAGCCGCGGUAAUACAGAGGUCUCAAGCGUUGUUCGGAAUCACUGGGCGUAAAGGGUGCGUAGGUGGCGUGGUAAGUCAGAUGUGAAAGCCCGGGGCUCAACCUCGGAACUGCAUCCGAUACUGCCAUGCUAGAGUAAUGGAGAGGUGACGAGAAAUCUCGGUGUAGCAGUGAAAUGCGUAGAUAUCGAGAGGAAUACCAAAGGCGUAGGCAGGUCACUGGACAGUUACUGACACUGAGGCACGAAGGCCAGGGGAGCGAACGGGAUUAGAAACCCCGGUAGUCC
rnacentral:rRNA from 1 species